rnacentral:rRNA from 1 species
UACGAAGGGGGCUAGCGUUGCUCGGAAUUACUGGGCGUAAAGGGAGCGUAGGCGGACAUUUAAGUCAGAGGUGAAAUCCCAGAGCUCAACUCUGGAACUGCCUUUGAUACUGGCGACCUAGAGUUCGGAAGAGGUUAGUGGAAUUCCCAGUGUAGAGGUGAAAUUCGUAGAUAUUGGGAAGAACACCAGUGGCGAAGGCGGCUAACUGGUCCGAUACUGACGCUGAGGUGCGAAAGCGUGGGGAGCAAACAGG